GUCUGACCUGGGCUGUGCUCAGAUUUGGAAGAGUAAUGAGGGUGAUGCUGAUGACGAUAAUGACAGUAACAGCUCCCUUCAUCGGGUGCCCGGGAUGCUCUGGUGCAUCAGGGAUUAGAGCCCUGUUUUUUUAAGGCAGAGGAAGCCCUGGAGAACAAAUGAAUCGCCCAAGGCCACAUCAUUAGUCGGAGGUGAGGCCCAUGUCCACUGGCUGUCCCUGGCCCCAAUGCCUGCACCCAUUGCCCUUGACCUUGGAAGAACCUUGCUGAAAUUGGAAAUGUUAACUUAGACACAUGGAGAACAUUGUAAUUUUAAAAAAUUUAUAGAAUGACUCAAAAUUAAGAAGUCGCGGGUGUAUUGAAAUAUUGCAUAUGAAGGCCCCACCAUCGGCCAGCAGGGCGGGAAGGACUGGCUGCCACUGGCUCUGGCCUCUUGCUCUCUGUGGGUGAUGUCUUAGCAGUGAGAUUCAGUGAGUUUCAGAAAGGGAAACCAUUCGUGGAUAACCAUCCUGAAAAGGAAGAAGAGCUGCUGGGGGCUCCCUGGGGUGGACCAGGCCCCAGGCCAUUGGGGCAAGUGCUGCAGACCCUCAGUGUUUUGUUUUUUGUUUUUCUUUGGAGUGUUUCCUUUGUUCUAGGAAUAGCCUGCGGGAGCAGCCCGGAUGAGUGAAGAUGGGCCCCUGACCCCAGACGCCCACCAUGGCCAGGGUCAGAAAGAGAUCCUAGUCUUCCCACCUGCUUUCACUGGGAAGCAAGAAAGACCCAACGGGACUGUCCCCGACUGUCCUGUGAGGCCCUCUUGCAGGAAUGGGGCAGUCUCCCCUGGUCCUUGCCCACUGCACAGGGCCCAGAUGCAGGGGUGUCUCUGGGGCACGUACGCAGGGACUCUCCAUGUUGCGGACUCUCUAUGUGUGGUCUGCUGACCACCCUAACCCUCCAGGGCCUAGUUUGUAGCUCUCCUGUUCCACAAGGGGCUUCGGCCAACGCUGUAGUCAGUUGUACCUGCAGUAACAUUGUGAGUGCCAAGGGAAGGGACCCACCCAGGAGGAUGCGGGGAACCCAGGGAGAGCUGGCUGUUUGUCUUGGGGGUCAGGCCUUGGUGCUGAGCUAUGAAGUGCAUGUUUGAUUGCCACUUCCCAAAGCAAGUAAGGCCAUGGACCCAGGGAUGAAUUCAUGGAGUUCGUAGGUGGGACUCAGAGGAGGGCAGGGAGUCCUACCCCAUCUCCACCUGAUUUGCUCUAACUCCUUACCUUGGGCCGGCCUGCGUUUGGCCUUCUCUAACAGCUGCUUUAUGCUUUAGUGUCCCCUCCUGAAGUCAUGUUGCAAUUUAAUCGCGGGUGAUUAGGUCACGAGGGCUCCACCUCAUGAAAGGAUGAAUGCUGUCAUCAUGGGAGUGGUUUGGUGGCUCUUGGCCACUCUCUGGCCAAGUGAUGUCCUCCAUGAUGUUAUGAUGCAGCAGGAAGGCCCUCACCAGAGGCCAGCACCUCAACAUUGGACUCUCUGGACUCCAGAACGAGGAGAGAUACAUUUCUUUUCAUUAUAAAUCAUCCAGGCUGUGGUAUUCUGUUAUAGCAGCAGAAAACUGACUAAGACGGCAGAGGAGAGUCCUGGCUGGCUCGUUUGACCCCAUGGCUUCUCUUUGAGGAGAAGACUGGCCACAUUAAACCAUCCCCUGACUCUUGCUUCUUCUGGUUGCUACUGUCCUUGUUCAACCUGAAGUCCCUCCAGAACAUCAGAGACAGCAGCCCAUCAUUCCUCACUGAUUUCCUCCACUCCUAUGAUGGCAUCUAAUCAAGCCACCAACCCUCAGGUCCCCAGGUCUUUCCCCCAGUUUAUUCCGGGACUGAAGAAUUUUUUGCACCUGUUUGCAGGUCCAACCUCCCUGGCUGAAAUCUGAAAAAGAACAGUGAGAAUAUUGCCAACUGAUUUCCUCUCUUUUGUCUCCCCUCUGCAGCCACCUUCAACUGUUUUUCAUUAUAUUUGAGAAGAAUAGAGAACUUGCUUUAUAGCAUGUGUUUACCAUCUAGGCCCACACAGAAAUUUCUAGAAAGAAGGUAGAACCAAGAAGUUGG
rnacentral:lncRNA from 1 species